rnacentral:rRNA from 1 species
AGAGUUGAUCCUGGCUCAGGAUGAACGCUGGCGGCGUGCUUACACAUGCAAGUCGAACGAAGCACCUUAUUCUGAUUUCUUCGGAAUGAAAAAUUUGGUGACUGAGUGGCGGACGGGUGAGUAACGCGUGGGUAACCUGCCUCAUACAGGGGGAUAACAGUUAGAAAUGACUGCUAAUACCGCAUAAGACCACAGCACCGCAUGGUGCAGGGGUAAAAACUCCGGUGGUAUGAGAUGGACCCGCGUCUGAUUAGGUAGUUGGUGGGGUAACGGCCUACCAAGCCGACGAUCAGUAGCCGACCUGAGAGGGUGACCGGCCACAUUGGGACUGAGACACGGCCCAAACUCCUACGGGAGGCAGCAGUGGGGAAUAUUGCACAAUGGGGGAAACCCUGAUGCAGCGACGCCGCGUGAGCGAUGAAGUAUUUCGGUAUGUAAAGCUCUAUCAGCAGGGAAGAAAAUGACGGUACCUGACUAAGAAGCACCGCUAAAUACGUGCCAGCAGCCGCGGU